GACGAACGCUGGCGGCGUGCUUAACACAUGCAAGUCGAACGGAAAGGCCCUGCUUUUGUGGGGUGCUCGAGUGGCGAACGGGUGAGUAACACGUGAGUAACCUGCCCUUGACUUUGGGAUAACUUCAGGAAACUGGGGCUAAUACCGGAUAGGAGCUCCUGCUGCAUGGUGGGGGUUGGAAAGUUUCGGCGGUGGGGGAUGGACUCGCGGCUUAUCAGCUUGUUGGUGGGGUAGUGGCUUACCAAGGCUUUGACGGGUAGCCGGCCUGAGAGGGUGACCGGCCACAUUGGGACUGAGAUACGGCCCAGACUCCUACGGGAGGCAGCGGUGGGGAGUAUUGCACAAUGGGCGGAAGCCUGAUGCAGCAACGCCGCGUGCGGGAUGACGGCCUUCGGGUUGUAAACCGCUUUCGCCUGUGACGAAGCGUGAGUGACGGUAAUGGGUAAAGAAGCACCGGCUAACUACGUG
rnacentral:rRNA from 1 species